rnacentral:rRNA from 1 species
CUAAGUUUGAUGGCGACCGGCGCACGGGUGAGUAACACGUAUCCAACCUGCCGAUAACUCCGGAAUAGCCUUUCGAAAGAAAGAUUAAUACCGGAUGGCAUACGAAUAUCGCAUGAUAUUUUUAUUAAAGAAUUUCGGUCAUCGAUGGGGAUGCGUUCCAUUAGGUUGUUGGCGGGGUAACGGCCCACCAAGCCUUCGAUGGAUAGGGGUUCUGAGAGGAAGGUCCCCCACAUUGGAACUGAGACACGGUCCAAACUCCUACGGGAGGCAGCAUG